rnacentral:rRNA from 1 species
GAUGAACGCUAGCGGCAGGCUUAACACAUGCAAGUCGGGCGGCAGCGGGGUGGGAGCUUGCUCCCACUGCCGGCGAGCGGCGCACGGGUGAGUAACACGUAUGCAACCUGCCCCUGUCAGGGGGACAACCCGCCGAAAGGCGGGCUAAGCCCGCGUAUAUCUCCCCGGGGCAUCCCGGGGGGAGGAAAGGAGCGAUCCGGACAGGGAUGGGCAUGCGGCGCAUUAGCUGGUCGGCGGGGUAACGGCCCACCGAGGCGACGAUGCGUAGGGGUUCUGAGAGGAAGUCCCCCCACACUGGUACUGAGACACGGACCAG